AGUCCUGAGCGGCGUGGAAGACUAGUGAUUUUGUUGUUUUGUGGUUAAACUGACAACAAGUCAUUGUCUCCCUCACAGCUCGGAGACC
rnacentral:pre_miRNA from 1 species